rnacentral:rRNA from 1 species
GACGAACGCUGGCGGCGUGCUUAACACAUGCAAGUCGAACGGAAAGGCCUUGCUUUUGUUGUUUGCUCGGGUGGCGAACGAGUGUGUAACACGUGAGUAACCUAACCUUUACUUUGGGAUAACUUCAGGGAACUGGAGCUAAUACCGGAGAGGAGCUCCUGCGGAUGAGAGGGGGGUGGAACGUUUCGUCGGUUGCAAAUGGACUGUCGGUUUAUCAGCUUGUUGGUGGGGUAGUGUCUUUCCGUGGAUUUAACGGGUAGCAGGCCGGAGAGGGUGACCGGCCACCCUCGUACUGAGAUAGGGACCAGACACCUACGGACGGCAGCAAGGGGGAAGAUUGCACAAUCGACGGGAGCAUGAUUGAGGAACGCCGGGUGCGGGAAGACGGCCGUCGUGCUGUAAGCCGCUUUCGCCUGUUACGGAGCAUGAAUGACGGUAAUUGAUAAAUAAGCACCGGCUAACUACGUG